CGGAGCUGUUCCUAUUCGGCCAUCUUGGCUCCUCCCCACUGCCUUCUUUUGUGUUAGUCUUAUUUCCUCAAAAAUCAAACUGUUUCUUUUGUUUUAAUAUCCACAGCUCUGAACAGUGUCUUACACAUAACAGGUGCUUUAAGAGCUCUGGGAUGAGCAACUUUCUGUAUCCCUGAUGGAAAUGCUUACAGAGUCCAUUCUGCUGUCUGCUUCCUUUUGGGUCAAGUGGCGUCCGUCGGGCAGCUGCACAUUGGAUGAUACUUCCUAGAGUGCGUCGGUGUCCUGCUGCUAGGAAAGGUGCCCUGUUGUUUGGAGCUGGGAGAAAACAGCAAGAAAUGAGUUCUAAGGAUUUUGCUGCCAUGCUGUGAAAACACUCAAGCAGUCUCACAGAGUGUUCAAAUGGCAAGGUACUGAGGUGCCCUGGCAACGGCAAGGAACUGAGGCCUUCAUCCAAAGCCAUUAAGUGA
rnacentral:lncRNA from 1 species